AAAACAAUAUUAAUUUGAAGGGAAUAUUUUUUUUGGCUAAAUUACAGAAAACCUCAUUGUAAUAACCCGCUUUUUCAUUUUCCCUCCCUGACAUUUAAAAACCUAUACUUUGCCCCCUUGUAAAAUAAAAAAUGUGCACUUCACCCCCUACCGUUAGGAUUCCGUCAGGAUUCUAUUAAAAAAUAUAUUUUUAUGCCGAAAAUAUCCCUCCGCCAUCUCCUUGUUGCUUCGACUCCCUCCGGCUCGCCACCUCACCGCCGCCUCGCUGCCUCGCCGCCUAGCCGCCUCGCCGUCCUCCACUGCCUCGCCCUCACCCACAUCCCCUUCGCCGUCCUCCGCCGUCUCGCCUUCGCCUUCUUUACCCUUCUCCUACUGUCGCCCACCUCGGUUUUCUCCUACUGUCGCCGAAAUCGAGGGCGGCGAGGGUGCAGGAGGAGAAGGGGAGCAGGUGGAGACGGAAAUGGAGAGAAAUUGCGGCCGAUUGAGAUGGGAAUCACGGUCGAACGAAGGGGCGGCUGAGGAAGAUGGAGAAGAAGACGACAAUAGUGAGGGGCAAAAUGGUCAUUUUACACACCGUAACCCCCCUGUGAACAUUUUUCAUUUUACAGGGGGGCAAAGUGUAGGUUUUUAAAUGUCAGGCGGGGAAAGUGAAAAAGCGGGUUAUUACAGGGGGAUUUUCUGUAAUUUAGCUUUUUUUUUUUUUGAGAGAGAGAAAGAGAUAGGUAGCACGCUAUCCGCUUCGUUUAUUUCAUUUUAAAAUAAAUUUAGCUGAAAAUAUGAAUCAAUUAGAAUUCGAACUUGAGACCUCAGAAAUCAACUUAGGAUUCGUUGAAAUUUUUAAUAUUAUUAAAAAUACAAUACAAGAGACUAACAAACAACAG
rnacentral:lncRNA from 1 species